UAUUGGUCCCUUCGCAACGAGACGCCGUGAACCCCGCCAGGUCCGGAAGGAAGCAACGGUAGCGGUCGAUACGUGUGAUGAAGUGUGGCUAGUGCUC
rnacentral:SRP_RNA from 1 species